ensembl:lncRNA
CAAUUGUUCACAGCAGUGAGUUUGUUAUUUUUUCUAGCAAUACUUUCAAUCCAUAGUCCGUGGACUCUGAGGAUCUGUGGGGCUAUUUCCAGAAUUUUUGAGAUAAGGACUGAAAGACGGACAUUCUGCAGUCUGUAGGUUUAUAAUCUGUCAGCCUUCCCUGGGAAACUGUCUAUGGAUCCUGAAGCUGCACCCAGUCAAGCCGUAAUUCUCUAUUUUAUGCUACUCCAGAAUGAACAUGUCCCAGACAGUCCACCAGAAACUGAAGAACAGAAAGUGUUUCAACUAAAGGAGGAAAGAAUCCAAUUUCUGUUUCUAUUUGCAGCAGAAAAUGCAGUAUUUUUAAGGAAGCUGAUCACCCCAUGAAGAAUAAAGCCUGCAACUACAAAAUAUUUGUCUUGAAAUCAGUAACGAGUUUAUUAAAGGGAAAAGUCUAUUAGCAGAAUUCAUAAAGUAGUUUACAAGAUCUGUUUCAUCCCCAGUCCAGCUAAUUCUUGAUUAUAUGGAAAAAAACUGCAAACCUGUUUUCUACUAAGAAGCAUAUAAUAUGCUGUCUCAACAUUUAGUCUGCUUCUGUACCUUCAGAUUCUUCAGCUUUUAUGGUUAUCAAAGCAAUUUUCUGGACAGGGC